rnacentral:rRNA from 1 species
CAAUAGCGUAUAUUAAAGUUGCUGCAGUUAAAAAGCUCGUAGUUGCAUUUCCGAGGCAAGGGAUUAGUCCGACCUUUGGUGGGUAUUUAAUCCUCUUGCCUCGUCCUUGAGUGGUGCUUCUUGGUAUUAAGUUAUCGAGGAGAUAGCCGCUCAUCGUUUACUGUGAGAAAAUUAGAGUGUUCAAAGCAGGCUUAUGCCGUUGAAUAUAUUAGCAUGGAAUAAUAAGAUAGGACCUCGGUACUAUUUUGUUGGUUUGAGAACCAAGGUAAUGAUGAAUAGGGACAGUUGGGGGUAUUCGUAUUCAGUUGUCAGAGGUGAAAUUCUUAGAUUUACGGAAGACGAACUACUGCGAAAGCAUUUACCAAGGAUGUUUUCAUUAA